rnacentral:lncRNA from 1 species
UCGGGUACUUGAGGGGAUUAAAUUUCUUAAGGACACACAGUGGGUUCUGUGGACUCGGAUAGUUCUUUGUGUUUUUCUUUUCAUCUUUUAUUAUUUCUGGUUUGCUAAUCUGAAUACAGGAGAUAACAAGCUUAAGAAAUUUAAUGAUGGUAUUUUCUGUGGUAAGGAAAUUACUUCUAUUUUCUAUGUUCUUUUUAUUGGGGAAA